GGAAAACUUACCAGGUCCAGACAUAGUAAUGAUUGACAGAUUGACAGCUCUUUCUUGAUACUAUGGGUGGUGGUGCAUGGCCGUUCUUAGUUGGUGGAGUGAUUUGUCUGGUUAAUUCCGUUAACGAACGAGACCUUAACCUGCUAAAUAGCUACUUGAAACUUUUAGUUUCAUGGGAAGCUUCUUAGAGGGACUUUGCGUGUAUAACGCAAGGAAGUUUGAGGCAAUAA
rnacentral:rRNA from 1 species